AACGAACGCUGGCGGCAUGCCUAACACAUGCAAGUCGAACGAGACCUUCGGGUCUAGUGGCGCACGGGUGCGUAACGCGUGGGAACCUGCCUUUAGGUUCGGAAUAACUCAGAGAAAUUUGAGCUAAUACCGGAUGAUGUCUUCGGACCAAAGAUUUAUCGCCUUUAGAUGGGCCCGCGUUGGAUUAGCUAGUUGGUGGGGUAAAGGCCUACCAAGGCGACGAUCCAUAGCUGGUCUGAGAGGAUGAUCAGCCACACUGGGAAUGAGACACGGCCCAGACUCCUACGGGAGGCAGCAGUGGGGAAUAUUGGACAAUGGGCGAAAGCCUGAUCCAGCAAUGCCGCGUGAGUGAUGAAGGCCUUAGGGUUGUAAAGCUCUUUUACCCGAGAUGAUAAUGACAGUAUCGGGAGAAUAAGCUCCGGCUAACUCCGUG
rnacentral:rRNA from 1 species